CCUACGGGAGGCAGCAGUGGGGGAUAUUGGACAAUGGGGGGAACCCUGAUCCAGCGACGCCGCGUGAGUGAAGAAGUAUUUCGGUAUGUAAAGCUCUGUCAGCAGGGAAGAAAGAAAUGACGGUACCUGACCAAGACGCCCCGGCUAACUACGUGCCAGCAGCCGCGGUAAUACGGAGGGGGCAAGCGUUAUCCGGAAUUACUGGGUGUAAAGGGAGCGUAGGCGGUUAAGUAAGUCUGGAGUGAAAGGCCGGGGCCCAACCCCGGGCAUGAUCUGGAAACUAUUGAACUUGAGUGCAGGGGAGGUAAGCGGAAUUCGUAGUGUAGCGGUGAAAUGCGUAGAUAUUAGGAGGAACACCAGUUGCGAAGGCGGCUUACUGGAGCGGAACUGACGUUGAGGCUCGAAAGCGCGGGGAGCAAACAGGAUUAGAUACCCUGGUAGUC
rnacentral:rRNA from 1 species